AGAGUUUGAUCCUGGCUCAGGAUGAACGCUAGCGGCGUGCCUAAUGCAUGCAAGUCGAACGGGAUCCCAUAGAUUCGUCUAAGGGUGAGAGUGGCGAACGGGUGAGUAACACGUUGGUGACCUGCCCCAGAGAGGGGGACAACCAGUGGAAACGCUGGCUAAUACCCCGGAUGUCAAGGUUUUUAGAAACCCUUGACUGAAGCUCCGGCGCUCUGGGAGGGGCCUGCGGUCCAUCAGCUUGUUGGUAGGGUAACGGCCUACCAAGGCGAAGACGGAUAGGGGGCGUGAGAGCGUGACCCCCCACACUGGUACUGACACACGGACCAGAUACCUGCGGGUAGCAGCAGCAAGGAAUAUUGCCCAAUGGACGAAAGUCUGAGGCAGCAACGCCGCGUGAAGGAAGAAGGCUUUCGGGUUGUAAACUUCUUUUUUGGGGGAAGAGAAAGGACGGUACCCCAAGAAUAAGAUCCGGCUAACUACGUGCCAGCAGCCGCGGUAAAACGUAGGGAUCGAGCGUUAUCCGGAUUUACUGGGCGUAAAGCGCGUGCAGGCGGCUUACUAAGUCGGACGUGAAAGCUCCUGGCCCAACUGGGAGAGGCCGUUCGAAACUGGAAGACUUGAGGAUGGUAGAGGUAAGUGGAAUUCCCGGUGUAGUGGUGAAAUGCGUAGAUAUCGGGAGGAACACCAGUGGCGAAGGCGGCUUACUGGGCCAUUCCUGACGCUGAGACGCGAAAGCUAGGGGAGAGAACGGGAUUAGAAACCCCGGUAUUCCUAGCCGUAAACGAUGUCAACUAGGUGUAGGGGGUAUCCAACCCCCCUGUGCUGUAGCUAACGCGUUAAGUUGACCGCCUGGGGACUACGGCCGCGAGGCUAAAACUCAAAGGAAUUGACGGGGACCCGCACAAGCAGCGGAGCGUGUGGUUUAAUCCGAGAUACGCGAAGAACCUUACCAGGGUUUGACAUGUACGUGGUAGGAAGGUGAAAGCCGACUGACCCUUCGGGCAGCGUACACAGGUGCUGCAUGGCUGUCGUCAGCUCGUGCCGUGAGGUGUUAGGUUAAGUCCUGUAACGAGCGCAACCCUCGUCGUUAGUUAUACGUGUCUAACGAGACUGCCGGUGAUAAGCCGGAGGAAGGUGGGGAUGACGUCAAGUCAGCAUGGCCUUUAUAUCCUGGGCUACACACACGCUACAAUGGCCGGUACAAUGGGUAGCCAAGCCGCGAGGCGGAGCCAAUCCUUCAAAGCCGGUCUCAGUUCGGAUUGUAGGCUGCAACUCGCCUGCAUGAAGUCGGAGUUGCUAGUAAACGCGCGUCAGCAACAGUGCGUUGAAUACGUUCCCGGGUCUUGUACACACCGCCCGUCACGUCAUGGAAGUUGGCAACGCCUGAAGUCAGUGAGCUAACCCUAACGGGAGGCAGCUGCCCAAGGCGGGGUCGGUAACUGGGACGAAGUCGUAACAAGGUA
rnacentral:rRNA from 1 species